UUUGAACUGAAGAGUUUGAUCAUGGCUCAGAUUGAACGCUGGCGGCAGGCUUAACACAUGCAAGUCGAGCGGUAACAGGACUAGC
rnacentral:rRNA from 1 species